rnacentral:rRNA from 1 species
AAAACAAACUAUUUACAACUUUCAACAACGGAUCUCUUGGUUCUGGCAAUCGAUGAAGAACGCAGCGAAAUGCGAUAAGUAGUGUGAAUUGCAGAAUUCAGUGAAUCAUCGAAUCUUUGAACGCACAUUGCGCCCUUUGGUAUUCCUUAGGGCA